GCCUCCGUGGCGCAGUUGGUAGCGUGCCGGCUGACGACGAGAAGGGUCCCAGGCUCGGUUCCCGGGUAGGGCA